CGCAACACUUGCCCUUGUCAACAAAGCGCGUUGACGCGGCGUAGCUUGUUAUAAAACGCGCACGCGACGACGAUACCGAACACUAAACGAACGACAUCGCUCCAAGCAACUCUACGCAAUGGCCUCCUUCUUUAACCUGAGCCUGAUUGCCCUGGUGGUGGUGAUGAUGGCGGCUGGCGCCAUUGCUGAUCCUGAUCCUAAACCUUUCCCUGCGCCUGGCAAAGGCAAAGGCGGGGGCAAAGGAAAGGGCAAAGGACACUGAAGAAAGGAUCGCGAACUGGCUUGAAAAACUUGGACGGUGAUUAGAUUAGCAAAUUCUAUUCUUUUUGAUCGACGAAAAAUUAAACUUAGUGCGAAAUUAA
rnacentral:lncRNA from 1 species